rnacentral:rRNA from 1 species
AACGAACGCUGGCGGCGUGCUUAACACAUGCAAGUCGAACGUGAAAUGUAGCAAUACAGAGUAAAGUGGCGUACGGGUGAGUAACACGUGGGUAAUCUACCAAAGAGCCUGGAAUAACCGACCGAAAGGUUGGCUAAUACUGGAAAGUUCAAAUGAAAUAUAAUGUUUCGAUUGGGAAAGGGAGCGAGCAAUCGCCUUCACUCUUUGAUGAGCCCGCGUCUGAUUAGCUAGUUGGUAGGGUAAUGGCCUACCAAGGCGACGAUCAGUAGCUGGUCUGAGAGGAUGAUCAGCCACACUGGAACUGAAACACGGUCCAGACUCCUACGGGAGGCAGCAGUGGGGAAUCUUGCGCAAUGGACGAAAGUCUGACGCAGCCACGCCGCGUGAGUGAAGAAGGCCUUCGGGUUGUAAAGCUCUGUCGGAAGGGACAAAAACGUUUAAGGUUAAUAGCCUUAGAUCUUGAUGGUACCUUCAAAGGAAGCACCGGCUAACUUCGUGCCAGCAGCCGCAGUAA